rnacentral:rRNA from 1 species
CCUACGGGAGGCAGCAGUGAGGAAUAUUGGUCAAUGGGCGAGAGCCUGAACCAGCCAAGUCGCGUGAAGGAAGACGGUCCUAUGGGUUGUAAACCUCUUUUGGCGGGGAGCAAUGCCGGGCACGUGUGCGCGUAGGGAGAGUACCCGCAGAAUAAGCAUCGGCUAACUCCGUGCCAGCAGCCGCGGUAAUACGGAGGAUGCGAGCGUUAUCCGGAUUUAUUGGGUUUAAAGGGUGCGUAGGCGGAAUUUUAAGUCAGCGGUAAAAUUUCGGGGCUCAACCCGGGCGGGCCGUUGAAACUGGUGAUCUUGAGUGGGCGAGAAGUAUGCGGAAUGCGUGGUGUAGCGGUGAAAUGCAUAGAUAUCACGCAGAACUCCGAUUGCGAAGGCAGCAUACCGGCGCCCGACUGACGCUGAGGCACGAAAGCGUGGGGAUCGAACAGGAUUAGAUACCCGGGUAGUC